UGGGGAAUCUUGCGCAAUGGGCGAAAGCCUGACGCAGCAACGCCGCGUGCGGGAUGAAGGCCCUAGGGUUGUAAACCGCUUUCAGUAGGAACGAAAAUGACGGUACCUGCAGAAGAAGGUGCGGCCAACUACGUGCCAGCAGCCGCGGUGACACGUAGGCACCAAGCGUUGUCCGGAUUUAUUGGGCGUAAAGAGCUCGUAGGCGGUUUAGUAAGUCGGGUGUGAAAACUCUGGGCUUAACCCAGAGCCGCCACUCGAUACUGCUGUGACUUGAGUUCGGUAGGGGAGCAGGGAAUUCCUAGUGUAGCGGUGAAAUGCGCAGAUAUUAGGAGGAACACCGGUGGCGAAGGCGCUGCUCUGGGCCGAUACUGACGCUGAGGAGCGAAAGCGUGGGUAGCAAACAGG
rnacentral:rRNA from 1 species